rnacentral:lncRNA from 1 species
UUUUAAAGACAAUGACUCAGGGUGGUAGAAAGAGCUGGGGAUCUGCUGCAGGUGAGCUGUGGGGUGGCGGGGUCCACUCCAGUCUGCGUGAGUGUGGGGCCCCAGGGUGUGGGCGUGGAGGUAGAUGUAAGUGUGGAUGUAAGUGUGGGUGUAAGUGUGGGUGGGUGUAAGUGCGGGCGUGGAGGUAGAUGUAAGCGUGAGUGUAAGUGUGGGUGUGGAGGUAGAUGUAAGUGUGGGUGUAAGUGUGGGUGUGGAGGUAGAUGUAAGCGUGGGUGUAAGUGUGGGUGGGUGUAAGUGUGGGCGUGGAGGUAGAUGUAAGUGUGGGUGGGUGUAAGUGUGGGCGUGGAGGUAGAUGUAAGCGUGGGUGUAAGUGUGGGCGUGGAGGUAGAUGUAAG